rnacentral:rRNA from 1 species
GACGAACGCUGGCGGCGUGCUUAACACAUGCAAGUCGAACGGUGAAGCGCCUUCCUUUUUGGUGGGUGUGGAUGAGUGGCGAACGGGUGAGUAACACGUGAGUAACCUGCCCCCUUCUUCUGGAUAACCGCAUGAAAGUGUGGCUAAUACGGGAUAUUCUGUGUCUGUCGCAUGAUGGGUCUGGGAAAGAUAUUGUUUCGGUGGGGGAUGGGCUCGCGGCCUAUCAGCUUGUUGGUGGGGUGAUGGCCUACCAAGGCGGUGACGGGUAGCCGGCCUGAGAGGGUGGACGGUCACACUGGGACGGAGACACGGCCCAGACUCCUACGGGAGGCAGCAGUGGGGAAUAUUGCACAAUGGGCGCAAGCCUGAUGCAGCGACGCCGCGUGAGGGAUGGAGGCCUUCGGGUUGUGAACCUCUUUCGCCAGUGAAGCAGGCCUGCCUCGUUUGUGGGUGGGUUGACGGUAGCUGGAUAAGAAGCGCCGGCUAACUACGUG